UCCUGGGUGUUCCAUACAAAGCCUGUGCCCUCAGGAGUACUCACACCCCAGUGACAUACCUGGCAAGGUGAACCAGGACCAGGCUGAGUCUCAGGCACUGAUGGGAGUGGGCAACAUGAAAGGCAGGAUUCAUCACCACAACGGGCCAAGGCUCUACUAAGGAGGGAUGACAGUUACCUUGGCCCUCUCCCACACAGCACCCUGACUGACCUGGGUCAUGCAAGUAUUGCAUAACAAUGCUGCCCCAAGUGAACAGUUGAGGUGAGGAUGGGUUGAGGGCUGGAGGAACAGGACUCUCAUGCUGGCCAAUUCUGUACUUUUGUUUUUAGAUGUGGAACAAAUCCUCCUAUCAUAUCUAAUGCUAAAUUUGAAUGCAGGCACUUUUAGAGUCUCUCCACAAGGCUCACGUAUUGAAAACUUGGUCUUCAGCCGGUGGCGCUAAUGAGAGGUGAUUGACUCACAAGGGCACUGACUCCAUCCACGUGUGUUUCCACCCAUGAAUUCAUAGCUUAAUGCCCUAUAGGAGGUGGGCCCUCAUUAGAGGAAGUCACUGUGGUCACACUCUUAAAGGCUGCAUCUUAGCGUCUUGUCUCCUGACAUGCUCCCUGUUCUCUCUCUCUGACACAUGCUCCCUGUCAUGCUCCACCUCAACACACUCGGGCCCCAAAGCAUGGAGCCAAUGACAGUAACCUCCAAAGAGAUCAGACAAAACAAAUGCUUCUCCCUUUAAGUUUAGUCCAGAUAUUUUGCCACAGCGAUGAAAGGUCAACUAACACACAGGAAGUGGGUAGGGUGUGAAGGUGGAGCCCUCUUGAACAGGAGGCCCUAGAGUAAAGAGUCCAUCCUUCCCACCGUCUGGACCAGAAGCUCCAGGCCAUCUCCAGAUCCUUCUCACUGUCUGGACCAGAAGCUGCAGGCCAUCACCAGAUCCUUCUCACCAUCUGGACCAGAAGCUGCAGGCCAUCACCAGAUCCUUCUCACCAUCUGGACCAGAAGCUGCAGGCCAUCUCCAGAUCCUUCCCACCAUCUGGACCAGAAGCUGCAGGCCAUGACCAGAUGCUUGUUCUGUACAAGACCAGGAUGCCAAACCUGCAGAGGACCUCUGGAGGCAGAAAUGGAGUGAGAAGAUGCCGUCAGAGGAGCAUCUCUGGGCACAUUCAGGCUUUGGAACCGGAGCCUGACUGAGGGAUUGCUCAUCCAGCCCAGGGCAGUUUGUGCUUUCUGUCCCCCAUGAUAUUCCUGGAGCUGCCAGAGUGAGAAAACAACCCUGGGUGACCAGGUGAGAGAAUGGAAACUUCCAGCAUUUCCAAAAUAUUAAAGGUGGCAAAUGUGGUUCACCAACAUGACUCUUCGUGCCUCAGACAUUCUUUGCCUGUCACUGUGAAUAUGAAAUGAUAUGGAAGACAGCAGGCUUAUGGGAAGUGGGGAAGAGAACCUGGAUUGAGUGAGAAACUACCACUGUGUUAGUAUUUCUGGGGCUGCCAUUUGACUCAGGCAUUUGUGGAUUUGAACAUUCUCACAGAGGAUCCUGGGUGCUGAAGAGAAGUCCUCUAUAUCCCUGGAGAGUAUUGCUGUCUUCCACCAUGUGUCAAGUAUCCUAAGGAUGCUUCUAGAAGAGCAAGUAAGGAAUCAGGUCACCAUGUUACCGAUCAGAUGGUUUCCAACUCAAGUACUGAACUAGAUGGGGCAAAGCAUGUACCACAUUGACCCCAAACUCAUUCCUAAAUGCAGGGACAUGCAUUGGGGCCUAAUCACAGGCCUGGAGAAGGAAGAACAGUUUUAUUUGUGACAGCAACAAACUUCCUUAAGCUUUCAGGAAGCAGCAGGUGGUUGUAUUCCAAGGGCUGACUGUGGGUUUCAUUCCUUCUGAAAGAUUUUACAGAGUCUGCACUUGUCAUUCUGAUUUGGCUCCUGUUUUCCUGUGGAGAGAAAAAUGGCACUCUGUUGUUGAGACCAAGUUGUCAUGAUUUCUGAACUACAUUGGUUAAGAAAAGCAAUGGGUUUUGCAGGUCUGUGCUGGACGCUGAGAUAACUGUGGUUACCACAGACAACAACAGAAGGAAGAAGAACAAGGGAAACAAGAAGAUUGCUGUCUGUCCUCUUCUGAGUGGACUCCUGAGGGCUCAGUGCUGGCUUUGACCUCCUUGAGAAGUGGUGUUUCUACACGGUUGAGUCUACCGGCACCCAUAGGAAUCUUUUCGUGUUUUAGGGAAAAAAGAAACACAUCCUAGAAAGCACAGCAUAUGGUUUCUAUGUCUUUUUCUUUUCCCUCAAGGCAUCAUUAGACAAAUGCUUCACCUCAUAAUAUAAUAUUAUAUUUGAGCUUGACAUGAAUCAUGAUCAUAAUGAAGACAGUAACCGCUAAAGAACACUUACGCUGCCUCAGGAAUGGAGUUCCAUACUUGUAAAUCAUUUCAAUUAAUCUUCUAGAUUUUGCUUAGAAAAUUGGGACUCAUAAAGAUUCAUCUCUCUCUCUCUCUGUGUCUUUUAAAAUGAGGUCUCAUGUAGUUCAGGCUAACCCAGAACUACAUGUAGCUGGAGUAGCCCUGAAUUUCUAAUAAACCUUUGGAGUAAUAAACCUGGGAUUAAAGGCCCGCACCACCAUGCGUAUUUAUGCCAUGCUGGGGGAUGGAACCAGCCUUCCUGUAUGCUAGGCAAACACUGCCAAUGAGCUAUGUCCUGUAGCCCUUAAGGAUUUUUCUAAGAUCACAUACACAGCACACACAUUUGAACUGCACAGUUUUAAUUUUUGACUUUUUUUUCUUGUCGUUCUGGUGCAGGGGGUGAGCUCAGGACUGCCCACAGGUGCUGAGUACACACUUUAAUCCUGAGACACACCUCUGCUCUCCAGUGUCUCUUUGACUGUAACUCCAUGAUAGUCUGCACCCCUGCCUCUAAAACAGCAGUGACAUACAAAGAGAAGGGGAUGCGGGAGGCAGCGGGGUGGAAGCUGGCCCCUGCUCAGUCCCUCUUGUACCUCAGACCCUUUACACAUGCGCCUUCACACUUGCGUUUGUAAACUUAACAACUGAGCUGGUGUUUGACACCAAAUGCACCUUCUUUCACGUGUUUCUCCUUUCCCCUCAAAUGGAUCUCUGUCUGAUUAUGUGAGUUUUAAAAAUAAAUUAAUGCUAAAGUUAUAUUCAUACAACCUAGUCUUGAAACUAUCAAACAACAAAUUUGAAAAUCAAAGCUUUUAAAUAUGAUGAUAUAGUUAUGUGUUGCUAUAUAGAAAAUUACCUCAAAGUGUAGUGGCUUAAAAUAGAAAAUUAUUUCAUUAUUUCAUUAUUAUUGCCAUGAUUUCAUUGGUAGAAAAUUCAGGUAGAAUCAUUUGCUUUCCAGAAAAGUCAAAUAUCCCAAUGUAUGCACGUGUGUCUGGGUAUGUGUGCACCCACGCACAUGGGUGGGUAUAACAGCAUGCAUGCAGAGGUCAGGCAACAGCUUAUGAAACCCAGUUAUCUCCUUCUGUCACAUAUGUUCCAAAGACUGAACUCAGGUAAUAGGCAGCAAGUGUCUUUAUCCAUUAAACAGGUUCACUGACACUGAA